rnacentral:rRNA from 1 species
UAGGGAAUCUUCGGCAAUGGGGGGAACCCUGACCGAGCAACGCCGCGUGAGUGAAGAAGGUUUUCGGAUCGUAAAGCUCUGUUGUUAAGGAAGAACGAGUGUGAGAAUGGAAAGUUCAUGCUGUGACGGUACUUAACCAGAAAGGGACGGCUAACUACGUGCCAGCAGCCGCGGUAAUACGUAGGUCCCGAGCGUUGUCCGGAUUUAUUGGGCGUAAAGCGAGCGCAGGCGGUUAGAAAAGUCUGAAGUGAAAGGCAGUGGCUCAACCAUUGUAGGCUUUGGAAACUGUUUAACUUGAGUGCAGAAGGGGAGAGUGGAAUUCCAUGUGUAGCGGUGAAAUGCGUAGAUAUAUGGAGGAACACCGGUGGCGAAAGCGGCUCUCUGGUCUGUAACUGACGCUGAGGCUCGAAAGCCAGGGGAGCGAACGGG